rnacentral:rRNA from 1 species
AUUGAACGCUGGCGGCAUGCCUUACACAUGCAAGUCGAACGGUAACGCGGGGCAACCUGGCGACGAGUGGCGAACGGGUGAGUAAUGUAUCGGAACGUGCCCAGUUGUGGGGGAUAGCUGCUCGAAAGAGCAGCUAAUACCGCAUACGACCUGAGGGUGAAAGCGGGGGAUCGCAAGACCUCGCGCCAUUGGAGCGGCCGAUAUCAGAUUAGGUAGUUGGUGGGGGAAAGGCCCACCAAGCCAACGAUCUGUAGCUGGUCUGAGAGGACGACCAGCCACACUGGGACUGAGACACGGCCCAGACUCCUACGGGAGGCAGCAGUGGGGAAUUUUGGACAAGGGGCGCAAGCCUGAUCCAGCCAUGCCGCGUGCGGGAAGAAGGCCUUCGGGUUGUAAACCGCUUUUGUCAGGGAAGAAACGCUCUGGGUUAAUACCUCGGGGUAAUGACGGUACCUGAAGAAUAAGCACCGGCUAACUACGUGCCAGCCGCCGCAGUAAAAC